CACGUAGGGGGCGAGCGUUGUCCGGAAUUACUGGGCGUAAAGGGCGCGCAGGCUGUUAUGCGAGUCUGCUGUGAAAUGUACCGGCUCAACCGGUGCCUUGCGGCGGAUACUGCAUAGCUGGAGUACUGGAGAGGGAAGUGGAAUUCCUAGUGUAGCGGUGAAAUGCGUAGAGAUUAGGAGAAACACCAGUGGCGAAGGCGGCUUUCUGGCCAGUUACUGACGCUCAUGCGCGAGGGCUGGGUUAGCGAACCGGAUUAGAUA
rnacentral:rRNA from 1 species